CUGCUCUCGGUGGUGCUUCCCGGUACCUGCCUGGUUCUCCUCACCAGGAAAACACUCGAAGUGGCUCAAAUCCUGGGGGCAUUCCUAGCUCUGAAGUCUCAGAGACUAAUGCAGGACUAAUUGAUCUUAAAAGCCUGCUGCUGGAUGGCUCCGAGUCGUGCUGUCAGUUCAAUGGCUGGUUUCUAUCUGCUGCCUCCUCCCAGAUUCCAGUUUGGAGAGCAGCACAGCCUCGCAUGGGGUCCAAUGGGAACUGCCCCCCUUGGAAUAGGAAGGGAACAGACCCCAUGGUUUGUGCUGUGAGGACACCCUUGUCAGGUCUGGGUUUUGCACAGGAGUGGAGGCUUUGUGCCUUCAGGCUUCCUGGUGGUGCUGAGCUGAAGGCACCUCCAUGGAGCAUCCAUCCCGCCUUGGCCCAUUGCUCCAAAGGGGAUGGCAAAGGGCUGGGAACCCACCCCAAGACUGAGGUAGAUAAAAACCAAUAUGGAGACAUCAACAAAUAAACCCCAAACCCUUUAUUUAUGCAGGAUUUACAUUGGCUGUGCCAGCCUGAACCUUCUGGAGCCCAUGUACCAUCCAUGCUGCUCCGCAGCUGAAGGUCCCCGUCAUGGAUGGCCUUGGAGCGAGGACACAGUGAUGGGGAGCUCAUGUUUGCCACCCACAUCCUGCUCCGGCUUCCCCGUUAUCACAGACAGUGAUGCCCAUAACAGGCUCUUAUGGCUCUAGUCUCUCUUCUUGCCCUCCCAGUUCACCAAGAAGAGAGUGGGCACCAGGAGCUGAUGAGGAACAGGAGGUGACCACCCCAGAACCCUAUCUGCAGGACCCUGUGCACAGAUGCCAGCACCAGACCCAUCACCGGACACAGCUUUGCUCCUGCAAGCUGGGAUGCAGUCACCUUCGCGGCAGAAAGAGGGUCUCAAACAGGAGCACGUAGCUUCCAAGGACACCUCACACCUUCUUCCUCAGCCCUUCCUGCUGAAAUCACACCCCUCCAGAAACACAGCAUCUUCCGAAGGCAUCGAGCGGGUUGGGGAGUUUAAUUCCUGCUAGGUCACUUCUUCAGAACAAACCCUGGGGAGUUUGGGUUUGGCUUCAGCUCGGGGGGUGCAGUCUCCACACAGCCAUGGUCUCCCAAUGGAUGCUCCGCAUUGGAUCAGGUCCUCACCCACGCUUUGAGCUCUUCUGGGAGAGCUGGGAUUCAGAGCAGCCUGAGCUACAGCUGUUCCCAACGGCCCCACGCUCCAGAGGUGCAGCUCAGCUUCCUCAGAGGACAAGAAGGAUGAGGUCUGUGGCUAACUGGAUCCUGCACAUUAUGGAGCAAGUCAUAAACUCCCCUUCUCCAGACUCAGGCACUGUGUGAUGCUCCGUUACCUGCCCUCACCUUCCAUCUCUCCACAUUUCUGGCUCCUAGGACACCAGCCCGCUCCAUUGACUGAUGCCCUGAGAAGAAUCCUGGCAUCCCAAGGAUGAUUCUUCCCUCCAUCCCCAGGCCGAGGCCACAUUGUCCCCAGGAGCUAAUGGGAGCCUGGUGGAGAUUCCCCCUGGAUGAGCCAGAGGCUGGUUUCCCAUGGCUCAGAAAGCUCUGGUAUUAAGCAGAUGUCAUUCAAGCCAUGAUUAACACAUUACUGAAUUUCUCCAGUCGUUUCAUAAAGCGUUUUACAUAACAUGCAGGUAAUUGCUUCCAAAUGGCAAGGUAACAAUGUGGGCUUCUAUGGAUGGCAUUGUUUCCAGGAUCAGGUGAAAACCCCUCUUCUUGCCUUGAUAUCAGGUGAAGUCCCACUGCGAAGACAUCGCGCUCAGACGGUUGCAUUUCCCAUCCCUCCUCUGAGCGCCAGAGACAAAGAAACAGGCUGGGAAGAGUCAAAGCCUUCAGUGUGGGGAUGGUUUCUGCCCUUCAGAUGUCUGUAUGGGCAGCAAACGGGCCUUGUGGUGCAAAACCGUGCCCCAGGUGUAUGUCUUUGCUGUGAUUUCUUCUUCUCUCUUUACUUCUCUUGCCUUUUCUGUCAUCACUGCUGAGUGCAAAGAGGCGAUGGAAAGAUCAGGGUGAAUGGGAGAGUCUGGGCUGUGGUGCUGGGGUGCUGCUCAUCACAGGAUCCCUUGCCCUGAACCCAAGCCAACGCUCGGAAUCUGAAAUCAUCCAUCAUAAGAUCAGGGAAAGAGUCAUCCCAACCAGUUUAUUUACUGGGGAACUGCCCUGCCGUGCAGCUGCGGGUCUUUGCUUUGCACCGGUGCAGGAUCUCACUUGUUGUUUCAGUGUCAGUGCAGGAGUGAGGUGUGAGAGUGAUGGAUGCUCGGGGACGAGGGAGCCCGACAGGCUGCAGACCCAGUGCAGGCUCAGAGGAUUGCUGGCUAACGGCUUCCAAGGCUGCAAAUGAGCUUCCCAAAUUAUUAGAGCUGGAGAACAGGAUCCCUUUAAAACAACCAAUCUGUCAUGAGACGUAUCCUGUGUCUGUCAGAGGCCGGUGGGACUCCGUUGGGAGAAUCCAUAGCAAAAAUCUAGGGAGAGCUGUAAAAUAUGCAUGUUGAUGCAGUCGUUUUGACAUGACAUUUCUCUUUAGGCAGCCUUAAGGGAUUUUUGCUGCCACUGAGGUGGUGCCAUCUCUGCCAACAGCAUCUCUGCUGUGGCUCUCGGUGCUGCUGAGAAAGCAGGAUUGUCCUGUGGUCUUGUGAAUGGGGAGAAGAUGUGUCCCAUGUGCAGAUGCCGUCAGUGCAGUGCUCUGAGGCAGACCACAGACUGCCAAGAACCACAGUAACAUGGUUGGGUUACUUCAUCUCCCUGUACUCCAGUUCCUUGGCUGCAGAAGAGGGAUUAUAACAGCAGUGAUCCUUCCCAGACACUCAUGAGCUCAGGUCUGUGAUGGCUGAGGAUGCACAGGCACCGAGUUUCGGCAUGUGGAUGGGCUGCUCAGAGACAGGGGAGAUGCUGAUGCUCUCCAGGGUGAGGGAAGCAGAUGGUGAAACCCAACCAUGCACUUUCUGUGAAGCACAGCGUAUCAGAACUGCCGACGUGCCCAACCUGCUGGUGGGUAGUUGGGUGCGCUCAGCAUCCACAGGGCUCUUCUCCAAUGAGCUCAUCCCAGUUUCCAGGCAAACACAUGGGAAACAUUCACGGGGCACCUGCUCCUGCGCCUUCACACCUGGAGACCUUCUGCCUUCACCUCUUUGAACGACUGGCUGCACUCACUCAUCACCUCUGGGACCUGGCCCUGCUCCUCUGCCCUGUUCAUCACGCAGCACCAGAUGGGUCCCUCCUGCCUGCUAGGCAGAGGAGAGCACUGUGUGAUAUCACGGCCAUGCUGGCAUGGUGUCACCCUCCUGGUGCUGGGCACACUGAGACAACUUGUGAGCAUCGCCAUGGAGCUUGGAUGUCUUUUUCAUCUCAUAUUGUGCUUUGGAUGCAACCUCUUUUAUUCAGCCCUCUUGCUGCCUUCAUAAAGAAUAACAGCGGCAGUUGUUGUUUUUUCCCCUGGAGCAUGGGCUGCUGUAAACCAAAGGGAAUCUUCCUGCUGAAAGAAGGAGAGGGCAGGCAGGAUGCUGCCGUAUCCAUUUCCACAGCAGAGCUGCAGCCCUCCAGGCCGGGCAGUUUGGCUUUCUCGAGCCUUCAUGGAGAGCAACAAAUUGUCCUAUAAAGGUUCUUUUCUUGCAUUUUAUUUUUCUAAGGAGACAGGCCCAAGUUGAGAACUUGGGACUCAAAUCUCCUGCUCCUUAAAUGGGCAACAAAGUCCAUGAUGGAAGCCAUGACACUGAAAUCUAAUGGGGUCUUCAGGUUCUGCCUCUCUCCCUCCCUAAAUCUGCAUCUGAAGCAUCCGUUUCCUGGCUGUGGAAAGCCCAUUUUGUGGGCUCAGCUGAUGCCCAUCUCAUGCAGCCUCUCGGCAACUGUCAUAAGGGAGAAAACCUUGCAAGGACAUUUCUGCUUCUGUUCCUUUUGAGGAGGGAACACGACUUGGCCAAUGUCAGACUUGAAGGAUGCGGUCCAGCCUCACCUCCAUCUCCCCACGAAGGUAAUUUGGGGUGAGGAUGGGAACUGCUGCCCCCAGCCUCUUCCUCUCCACAUCCCACUUGGAAGUCAUGCUGUCGGCGCACCAAAGAGCCAAAGGUCCAUGAGCCCUGUCCCAAGGCAUCAUCUCUUGCUGUCUGUGGCUGUGCUGCUCACAUCUGUGCUUCCCCCUGCUUAUGCCAUUAGCUCUGCAGCAUCAUGCAGGAACAAGUGCAGCCAGUUUCAGCUCCACAGGUCACCAGGUGCUGAUAAAUUGUUUUCCUGGAGAUCCAUCACUUCCCAUUUGCCAUGUGAAACACCUGGGCUGCCUGCAUGGAAUAGCUCUGCUGGAUACCGAGGAGAUGUUCCCAUCCAUGGUCAUGCUCGAGGCACUUCGGGAAACAGUAAGAAAAUCAGGGCCCCACAUUAAGAGAGGGAAAAGGCUGGGUGGGGAGACCUGGACAUGCUCCUUUCCACUCCCUCUUCCCUUUCCUUCCUUCCUUCAGAGGCCUUGCUCUGUUCCUGGAGGUGGACAGUGUCCAGGGCAAUGUGUGUUGGAGCUGUCUAAGAUGCAACAAAGAACUUCCCUUAGGCCUGAAUUAUGCAGAUCCUCCCAUUUUAGUUAUUUCCACCUUGGUUAUAAAUAAUGUGCUAAGCAGAACUUUCUUCAUCCGGAAACCUUUAGGAACUGGUUCCCAGUCAUCCAGUUUGGAUUAUGUCCCAAACAGGUUGCUGCAAACCACACCAUCCUUUCCCUGUUGGGGUUAUUGCCGUGGUGAUUUCCAGUGACCAUGAAUGAUGCUGGGAGCAGGAACAUCUUGUGGCAAUAUGUUGCCCUUGAACCUUGAGUUGGGGAUCGUGGGGUAUAAGGCAUUUGAAAGCUGUGUCUGGAAUCUGUGACUCGUGUAGUGCUCUGACAUGAGAGAAGGGAUGCUUUGAACCAUGGUGGCUGUGGGAGUUCACCAGAGCAGCUCUGCUGGGACUCCUGGUGUCUGCAAGGCAGCGUCCAACAACACCCUUCCCAGCUCUACGCUCUGGUCCUUCAUGCCCAGGGCUGGGAUGCCAGAGGAGGACCCAGCUCAGCAUUCGGAGCCAAAUCAACGUUGUGAACAUCACAGGUCUGUGGGAAGGGGUGAUGCAGUGCUUCGGUUUGGGGCCACAUUGAGUGUGAGGCCAACACUAAACACUUGUGGGCUUGGAAGAGGUGAAGAAGCCAUCUGAGUCUAAUGCCAGAAUCUCCUUUUGCGCUGUGGGUGGUGGUGUGUAAGGCUCCCAAAAGAGGUGUUGCAUCCUGACUGCCUGAAGGCUGAUCAUCUUAGAUGUGGAGGUGAUGGGGGAGCUAGGUCAGACAGUGAUCUUGACCUUCAGGUGUUUGUGCAGACAGCUUUAUCAAGGCCAGGUUUGAUUGACUGGACUGGUGCUGUCAUGCUGUGACACCAAACCAUUUCUCGGUUGUGAGUGGGUUUCUACCCUCCCACUGGAGGUCAGGAACAGGUAUGAGGUCCAUCAGCGGUCACCCGAGGUUCAUGCAGGGAAUCUGGGAGCAGACCUUGAGUGUCAUGCAAUCUGCUACACCAGUUUCCAACCCCUCCUGGCCCCGUUGCCUUAAGUAUGCCCAGUACGGGAUACCUGUGUGCCAAAGAAAGACGGGGGCAAGGCCAGGGCAGGAUCUGCUGGUCCCGUCCUCCUUCUUCCCCUCCAGCUGCCCCACCUCCAUCUUUUAGGCACUGCAAUGGUUGAAAAGUGAACUUUGGGUGUAUUUUAUCAUGAAGGAUCCCGGGCUUUUUAAGCCCAGCUUUAUAAGCAGUGCUGAAAGGUCCUGCAUCGGGCAGAGGUCUGCUUUUGAAAUUGAACAAAUUGUGGGUUUAUGGCUCCCGGGGGGGGGUUGUGCUGUAAAUCUCCCAGCAUUUAUCACAUCUGUUCUUUCCCAACCAGGCUACCAGCGUCCCGAGGAGGAGAGGGAGCAGGAGCUGACACUUCCUGACACUGGCUGCUCUCCCGGCCCCCGGGAGCUCCUCAGGAAUGGUUUUAAAGUAAUAUUUAUGGAUGAUCCUGGUGGAUCGGGCCCUAAAAGGCACAGAGAAAGGGCUGUUGUUCAUUACCAUUUGGAAACUGUGCACCGAGGAGUUCCCUGCGGAGGGGCAAAAGAAAUGGAGUGAAAGUGAAGCAGCUUUCAAGUUAAUCCAGAUCUUUUUGAGCAUUGUUGUGUUGGUAAAACUCGGAACCUUAUUUUUGAUGAAGAAAAAAAGAAUUGCAUUUUUGGGGAUGGUUUUCCUCAAAAUGGUUUUCUUUCCACGAUUCCAUGCUGAGAUGCCUUAGCAAAGAGAUUUGUUCUCACUCAUAUAUGGAUACGUGGUUGAGUUUUGGUCUUUGUUCAUACACAUCUCCAUGCUAAAACAAUCUAUCUGCUUCAGCUAAUAUAUUAGGAAUAUAUUAAUAUAGGAAUAUAUUAGUAUAGGAAUAU